GUCUAUGGCCAUACCACCCUGAACGCGCCUGAUCUCAUCUGAUCUCGGAAGCUAAGCAGGGUCCGGCCUGGUUAGUACUUGGAUGGGAGAAAAUACUUGCAAAUCAUGUAACUGAUA
ensembl:rRNA 5S_rRNA 5S ribosomal RNA